rnacentral:lncRNA from 1 species
UCUCUCAAAAUAGGGCCAAUAGCUGAGUACUAUACAAACAACACACGAGUGUGUGCACAAAAUGUCAUGUACAAAUCAUAUUUUAUAUAAAUAAAAGUUGGAGCAUGUGUAUAUGUGUAUAUAUGUGUACAUAUGUGUGUUUAUGUGUGUGUAACUCUCUCUGUAUGUGCGUAUGUGUAUGUAUAUACAUGUGUGUAUGUGUGCAUAUAUAUGUGUGUUUCUGUAUGUAUUUGUGUGAGUAUGAGUGUGUAUAUGUGCACGUAUGUGUGUGUGUGUAUGUAUGUAUGUAUGUAUGUGUGUCUGUGUGUGCAUUUGUGUGUGUGUGUGUGUGUGUGUGUGUGUAUACCUGGACUUGUAGAUACAAUGGCAAGUGUGAGUGCUGGUCAGGAAGUCCUGUGUGGUUACUGUCUUUGUCUCCAAUGCUGUAGUCCAUGAGAUAGAGAAUUGGGAAAAUGGUGACUGUGAAGUGAGAGUCAGUAACAACAAGCUGAAACCUCAGACAUAAGCUAGGUCACAAUGGUUGGCUGGAACCCAGGUGGGUUCUGGUCUUCUGAUCUUGGCAGUGUGAGUAUAUGACUGAUAUCAGGGCUCUUUGUUAUGGAGUGAAGCACAUGCACUUUUGCUUAGAAACAAGAGGAAUUGGUGGAGAUCCAGGGCAAAGUGUAACACGUACUUGUGAUACUGACGAAGCCUGGAGGUUCUCACAGGCCUACUACUAUCUUCCUUCCAACAAACUAAUCCAGCUCAUAGGAGACAUUUCUACAGCAAAAACAUGUUCCAGGACUCCCAGUGGAUGACUGAAAUCAUGAAUAGCACCAGACUCUACACAUGUUGUUCUUUUUUCCAUUUUUAUAUAUCAAUGAAAAAAAAUCAAACACCAAGAUGAUUCAAUUAUAAUAAUUACAUUAAAUAUAAAUGUCUUAAAAAUCCCCAAAAGACACAGAGAUUAUUGAGAUUGGACUUUAAGAAACAGUAAGACCCAAUGAUAUCCUGCCUCAACAAACAUAAUCUGAAUAUAUAGUCAUGAGUAGGUUAAAAUCAAAAGGUUGGGGAAAUAUAUACUAUGAUUAGAUAAGCCAAGAGAAAGCUACAGUGGACAUGCAAUAUUAACUAAAGUGUAUUACAAAGCAAAAUUCAGCAGGAUAAAAAUAAUUUCAGAAUGAUAACAGGUUCAAUUCAUCAAAAGGACAUAAAAUUUUUAAAUGUUUAAUCAUCUAAUAACACAGCUCCAAAAUAUACAAAAAACAGGAUCUGGUAAGAUAAAUAUAUUUAUGAUUAAAACCGAUUAAAAGAAAAAAACCAAAUGAUUAAGAGAAAAAAAUGUUCUGGGGAUAAGGGGACUGUAGAUUUAAACACAAGGGCCAAGCAGUUGACAUAAUUGCUAUUUAUAGAUGACUUUGCAAUGAUGGUGAGAUCCACAUUGUUUCCAUAGAUGCCAAACAUUUAGCAUGCUAGACCACAUGCUGACACACAAAACAACUCAGGGAAGUUUAGGAAUCAGACAGUGCACUUAAAGCAUAACAGAACUGUUAGGAUGCUACAGUCGGCUACGUCUGGCUAGUCCUCCAAUACGCAGAAAGUAAAUGUGGGAGCUACAGGCCCUGAGCUAUGAAACUAAAGUUGUGACCCAUAAGAAAACAGUGAUGUUUGACUUCCUUAUAAAUAAGAAUGUCUACUCUUUAAAAGACAGUUUUUGAGAGAAUUAAAUAACCAAAUACUGGGGAAAUAUUUGCAAACCAUGUGUCAAAUAAAUGACUUAAAUCUAUAAUGUAUAAACCCUAUGGAUUAGGAUGACAUCCCAGGGACAAGAGUAUUUGCUGUGAAUCAAGAGGUGAGUUCAAGUCCUCAGCUGAUAAAAAGCUGCGCCAUACCACAGCUCGCAAUCCCAGCCCUGGAGGCCAUCGACAGGUGGGUCUCAGGCGCUGGAUGGCCAGCCUGCCUGCCCAAAGCAGUGAGCUCCAGGUUCACUGAAAGACCUUGUCUCAGGAAAGCAAGGUGCUGAGCCAGCAAGAUGGCACAGCUGGUACACGCACUUGUCACCAAGUCUAACAACCUGAUUUUGAUCCCCAGAGCCCAAAUGGUAGGAGAGAAAUGACUUUUGCAGGAUGUCCUCUGACCUCCUCCAUGUGUAUGCACCUACACACUCAUGUACGUAUGCGUUUGCAUACGUGAGCGAGCACACACACACACAAACACAGAGAUAUAGAUGGCUAGAUAAAUAGAUAAAUAAAUGUUAAAUGAACAAAGACCUUAACAUUAUCAGUCAUUGAGGGAUUACAGUUCAAAUCACAAUGAGGUAUCAUUUCACACCUAUUUAAAUGGCUCAAAAUUUAAGAGUGGCAAUGGAGAGAUGCUCAGAGGUUAGGAGCACUGGCUGCUGCUCUUCCAAAGGGCCAGGGUCAGUUUCCAGCACCACAAGGAGGCUUACAGCCAUCUAUAACUUAACUUACAGGGGAUCCAAUACUCUAUUCUAGUUCUUGUAGACGCCAGGCACACACAUGGCACACCAACAUACAUGCAGGCAAAACACUCAUACACAGAAAAUAAAAUAAUAAUAAUAAAACGGGUUUUAUAAAAAGAAGAGAAAAAAGGAAAGAGGGAAGGAAGGAAAGAAAGAAAGAAAG